GACGAACCGUGCGAACGUUGUUCGGAAUCACUGGGCUUAAAGGGCGCGUAGGCGGUUUCUCAAGUCCAGGGUGAAAUCUUUCGGCUUAACCGGAAAAGUGCCUUGGAUACUGAGAAGCUGGAGGGAGGUAGGGGCAGCUGGAACUUCCAGUGGAGCGGUGAAAUGCGUUGAUAUUGGAAGGAACGCCGGUGGCGAAAGCGAGCUGCUGGAUCUCUACUGACGCUGAGGCGCGAAAGCUAGGGGAGCAAACGGG
rnacentral:rRNA from 2 species